rnacentral:rRNA from 1 species
UACGGAGGGUGCGAGCGUUGUUCGGAAUCACUGGGCGUAAAGCGCGUGUAGGCGGUCUGCUAAGUCUGAUGUGAAAGCCCGGGGCUCACCCCCGGAAGUGCAUUGGAAACUGACAGACUGGAGUCCCGGAGAGGAGGGUGGAAUUCCUGGUGUAGCGGUGAAAUGCGUAGAUAUCAGGAGGAACACCAGUGGCGAAGGCGAGUGACUGGCGCGUUCCUGACGCUGAGGUGCGAAAGCUAGGGGAGCAAACAGG